GCUCUAAUAGUUUAAAAAAAACACUGGUCUUGUAAACCAGAAACUGAAGGGUCCAACCUUCUUAGAGCU
rnacentral:tRNA from 1 species